CGUACACUCCUACGGGAGGCAGCAGUGGGGAAUAUUGGACAAUGGGCGCAAGCCUGAUCCAGCCAUGCCGCGUGAGUGAUGAAGGCCCUAGGGUUGUAAAGCUCUUUCACCGGAGAAGAUAAUGACGGUAUCCGGAGAAGAAGCCCCGGCUAACUUCGUGCCAGCAGCCGCGGUAAUACGAAGGGGGCUAGCGUUGUUCGGAAUUACUGGGCGUAAAGCGCACGUAGGCGGAUCGAUCAGUCAGGGGUGAAAUCCCAGGGCUCAACCCUGGAACUGCCUUUGAUACUGUCGAUCUGGGGUAUGGAAGAGGUGAGUGGAAUUCCGAGUGUAGAGGUGAAAUUCGUAGAUAUUCGGAGGAACACCAGUGGCGAAGGCGGCUCACUGGUCCAUUACUGACGCUGAGGUGCCAAAGCGUGGGGAGCAAACAGGAUUAGAAACCCUUGUAGUCCCAUGAU
rnacentral:rRNA from 1 species